rnacentral:rRNA from 1 species
ACGGAAGGCAGCAGUGGGGAAUAUUGCACAAUGGGGGAAACCCUGAUGCAGCGACGCCGCGUGAGUGAAGAAGUAUUUCGGUAUGUAAAGCUCUAUCAGCAGGAAAGAAAAUGACGGUACCUGACUAAGAAGCCCCGGCUAACUACGUGCCAGCAGCCGCGGUAAUACGUAGGGGGCAAGCGUUAUCCGGAUUUACUGGGUGUAAAGGGAGCGUAGACGGCUUUGCAAGUCUGAAGUGAAAGCCCGGGGCUCAACCCCGGAACUGCGUUGGAAACUGUAGAGCUAGAGUGCAGGAGAGGUAAGUGGAAUUCCUAGUGUAGCGGUGAAAUGCGUAGAUAUUAGGAGGAACACCAGUGGCGAAGGCGGCUUACUGGACUGUAACUGACGUUGAGGCUCGAAGGCGUGGGGAGCAAACAGGAUUAGAUACCCUGGUA